GAUGAAGAACGUAGCGAAAUGCGAUAAGUAAUGUGAAUUGCAGAAUUCAGUGAAUCAUCGAAUCUUUGAACGCACAUUGCGCCCGCCAGUAUUCUGGCGAGCAUGCCUGUUCGAGCGUCAUUUCAACCAUCAAGCCCCAGGCUUGUGUUGGAGCCCUGCGGCUGCCGCAGCCUCCCAAAACCAGUGGCGGGCUCGCUAUCACACCUAGUGCAGUAGUUUACUCUUCGCUCAGGGCGUGUGGCGGGUGCUAGCCGUGAAACCCCCAACUUCUCAAGGUUGACCUCGGAUCAGGUAGGAAUACCCGCUGAACUUAAGCAUAUCAAUAAGCGGAGGA
rnacentral:misc_RNA from 1 species